GACGAACGCUGGCGGCGUGCCUAACACAUGCAAGUCGAGCGGGGUUGAAGCGAGGGGUAACUCGAGUUUCUACCUAGCGGCGGACGGGUGAGUAACGCGUGGGCAACCUGCCUCAAGGACUGGGAUAACAGCUCGAAAGGGCUGCUAAUACCGGAUAAGCCUAUGGCCUCGCAUGGGGCCAUGAGCAAAGGGGAAACCCGCCUUGAGAUGGGCCCGCGUCCCAUCAGCUAGUUGGUGAGGUGAAGGCUCACCAAGGCGACGACGGGUAGCCGGCCUGAGAGGGUGACCGGCCACACUGGGACUGAGACACGGCCCAGACUCCUACGGGGGGCAGCAGUGGGGAAUCUUGCACAAUGGGCGAAAGCCUGAUGCAGCGACGCCGCGUGAGCGAAGAAGGCCUCGGUUGUAAGACUCUGUCUGGUAGGACGGAAGGAAGUAGGACGGUACCGUCCGUACGGGAACGACCGACGGCCGUAACUAACGUACGCCGACGCGACGACCGCCGGUAACGUACGUACUAACUCCGUACUACG
rnacentral:rRNA from 1 species